UACAGAGGGGGCAAGCGUUGUUCGGAAUUACUGGGCGUAAAGGGCGCGUAGGCGGCCUGUUAAGUCGAACGUGAAAUCCCCGGGCUCAACCCGGGAACUGCGUCCGAUACUGGCAGGCUUGAAUCCGGGAGAGGGAUGCGGAAUUCCAGGUGUAGCGGUGAAAUGCGUAGAUAUCUGGAGGAACACCGGUGGCGAAGGCGGCAUCCUGGACUGGUAUUGACGCUGAGGCGCGAAAGCCAGGGGAGCAAACGGG
rnacentral:rRNA from 1 species